rnacentral:tRNA from 1 species
GCGGCGGUAAUUCAGUGGUAGAAUGCGUCCUUGCCAAGGACGAUGUCGUGAGUUCGAGCCUCAUCCGCCGCU